GGCUUGCGGUGUUCAGACGUCCCCCACGGGAGCUAACGCUUAAAGCCGGCCUGUGUAGCGGCGGGUUGCCCGGCACCGGGGCCCCCUGGGCAGGCGCAGGUAGCGCGGCCUUCCCCCCGCCCGGAGGAGGUGCCGGCCCCGCGUUCGAAGGAGGUGCGGUUGCACUGCGAGACGGCGAUGCGAGUGGUUGUCUUAGUGCUGGUGUUUCUUUGCGGUUUUCCAUUUUUCUCGGUGCAUCCGGAGCUGCUUUAAAUAAGAAGAGGAUGGCAGUGAAAGGAGGAGGCCUUGCUCUCUAUUACUGCUUUUCCAACCCGGUGCCGCUUCCGGGCCUUUUGAGAGGUCGCUUUUAAAAUUAUCUUCGUGAACGUUUCUUUUCAUAGCGUCUCAGAAAGCAGAUCAGUCUGGUUCACUGAAAGGAGUAAUACAUUACAGCAGUUUAGGCAAUCUGAAGCCAUUCUGUUCACUCAUUGAGUGAAUAGGGCAACUCUGUUCUGUGGAUUUACCACUGCUUUGAGAUGGAAUUCAAAAUUAUUUACCACUAAAAAUGUUUUUUUAAGAUAAAAUAGUCCUUUUGAACAUUUCUGUGACUUAGCUAACAUUUAAGAUGCAAAUUACGCAGCUGGUUCAUGAAGCUCAGGGGGCUGGGAUAAGUGCUGUACUCGAGUGAAGAACUGUGAGAGCUGUGGGUAAAAAUAUUACCGUGUGAUCUUCUUAGGUUUUUCCUCUUCCAAAGAAUUUAAAUUGUUUGGUGUAGACAGAUAACUGAUUCAAAGUUGUGUCUUUCUUUCAGUGGAGAUUGCUAUAUGUUGUUGAUAGAUUGUAUGGUGUGUGUGGGGAGGAAGGGAACUUCAGUCACUGGGAUGAAUUCCUGCCUAGAUUACAAAUGUCAGCUUCCAACAUCUUUGUAAUCUGCUGCCCAGGACUCUCCUCCUCUUCCUUGCCCAGUUUAUGUCCCUGCUGCAUACUCUUCAGGAUACAGCAGUCUCUGAAUUGCCAUCUCGGUGCUCAUGGACACCUACCCACUUGACUCUACUGUCAUGCUCACAAACUAUGUGGUCAGAAAGAAUGGGCAACUUGUGGGCAAAGCAAUUGCUGUUGAAAUGGUGUUCUGCACAGAUGGUCAACACGGGAAAGAUUGUUUCCUGCCUUCUUCUGCUGAAAGGAACUCCCUCAAUAAUAGCAUUUGAAAGCAAGAUUUCUUUCUGCAGGUUCAGUGCUGGCAUCUUCUGUGCUUGGCUGGGUUUCCAUUGUACCCAGCCACUCUUGCCUGGUGGUGACAAUACUUCCCCUCCAUGUGACAAGGGGAGAUCAAGAAACUCAAAGGAGACAUACAUUUUUCUGCUUUCUCCCAUUUGGUAUAAUUAAGUAUUUGAAAGAUAAAAGAUAGGUUAUAUGUUCCUGAUCCUGGGCAACUGCUAUAAAUAAUAUUAAGAGUUUUGUUGUGCUGUACAGCCAGACACUACUUGGAUCACAGGCAUUGGUUGAACAGGACUACACAUGGAAGAAAUCCGAUUUCCCAGUUAUUUCACCAGGCAGACCUUUUUAUUUCUGCAGUUUCCUGAAGCUUUAGUGAUUUCAGUCUAACUGUAUUUUUUCAGAUUUCUAGUGAUUUUAUGGUAUUUUUGUUUUCCAGUUAUAUAAGGAAGAAACAAUUUCUUCCAGCCAACAAAGUAUUGAGAAAUAGAAGUGAUUUUUCAGUCCUUCUCACUUUUACUAACCAAAAUUAGCUAAAUAAACCAAAAUUAUUGUAUUAUACGUCAAUCUAAAGCAUACUUGCAUUUUCAUUUCUUGUAAAAAAUAAGGAGAAACUAAGAGGGGAGACUAGUUUAAUUUCCGAAACCAGUAGUUUGUACACUCCCCAGGACAGUAGAAGAGUUGGUUUCACUUUGAGCUUCUUACUGGAGGACCAGAACCAGUGGCUCCCAUGGGAGCUCUUUAACCACUGGACUUUGGUGGCUCUGCAGUGGAUGAUCUUGCAGCUGCUUCUGCCACCACCAUUAUCCUCUAGUGGACAUAUUUUUCUCUCCGCAGUUUUCUCAGACUGAAGCUGUCAUCAUUCUGUCAGAUUCUCCUCUCAAUGCUCUCAUUAUUCUAGGAUUUUUGGAAACUUGUGGAAUUGACUGUUUUCCCUUGUUUUGUUCUUUAAAUUAGGGGCUACUGGGUUCUGAUUUUUGUUUAUCCCACCUCCCCUUAAAAAAAAAAAGCCAACAACAAAAAACCAAAACCACAACAAACCCAAACAUACACCUUAGUUCCUUCACAGAAUGUAGUGUGGAACGUUUCUGUAUUGGUAACAAAAUGUUUCUGUGCCAGGAGGCUGCAAAGGUUCUUCAGGAGCCAGAGAGUUUUUCUGAGCUCAGGAUGAUUUCUAAACAACAUCAGUUUAACCUUUGUGGAAGAAUUUACUUUAACCUUGACAAAAAUACUUAGGAUAAUUUAGGCUGACACAUAUGGAAAAUCUAAUAAUAGCAAUUUAAAACAGAACAUUGCAACAAAUUUAAGUGAAUAAAAAUAGGACAAUCUUUUCUUAGCACUUUGAACAGCACAGAGACCAUUAGCAGAAGAGAAGCACUGUAGUGCCCUGUUAGCAGAUACUGUGGUGAAAAAAGCUUUCCACUGAGACACUUCAUUAUUUUAUGUUGCAGGGUAGUGGCUGUCAUGUGAAAAAUUACUGCCUUCAUCCUAGCUCUGCAUAUAUUGUCCUCAUACAGAUUGUACUUUAAACAUGAUAGAAUGUUAAUCCCUACUUUACUAAGGGGCUUCUUCGGUCUUUUAUUUAUUUGUCAAAAUAUAAGUUGAUAUUUUCAAACAAAUUAUAGCUGACUCUUUAAAAGAAUAGAGGUAAAUCUAAUUCAACAACUGAACCUCAUGCUGCCUGAGUAAAUUUUUUGACAGAGAUGGAAGGACCGUACCUUCUAGCUCAUGUUGUAUGUACUUAGCAGUUUUUGUUUUCUUGAAGAAGAUAAUGGAACAAUUAUCUUUAAAAAAAAGUAUUAAUUCAAAUUGUCCUUAAAAAUAGCCGUUUUUUUUGUGACUCAUGUGAAGCAGCUUGGCUUGAAUGGCUUGAAAUAAGCAUCAGUUCUCCAAGAAGCAGACAUUUCUAUGUAGCAAAUACUGGCUUUUAAUUUUUUUUUUCCAGUAGUCUUAUUUGCAGAAACUUUAGAUUAUUCCUGAUAAAGUAAUCAAUAUAAAUCUAGCUUCUCUUAACUUAUUCAAGUCUGAUACAACUCCCUUCUUAGCAGAGCCCCAGUUUCAGCAGAGAAAACCUGCAUGGUUAGUUCCUACAAUUGCGUGGUUUAUAUAUGUAGCCUGCAGUGCUUCUGUUAAAGCCUCACAAUGCAGUUUUCUCCUCAUAAUCAUGGGGGAGACUUGUAUGUGGACUUAAUGGGGCCAAAUAAAGCAUGCUUGGGAUAGUAAAUCUGCUUCCCUUGGUGUACUUUCCUUUCACUCCACUGUGGAAGGUCAGCAGGGACACAGCAGAAUGCCUUGGGCAUAAAAAUCUGGAGGAGCAA